rnacentral:tRNA from 3 species
GGGGGUGUAGCUCAGUUGGUAGAGCGCUUGAUUUGCAUUCAAGAGGUCCUCGGUUCGAAUCCGUGCAUCUCCACCA